UACGUAGGGUCCGAGCGUUGUCCGGAAUUAUUGGGCGUAAAGGGCUCGUAGGCGGUUUGUCGCGUCGGGAGUGAAAACACCGGGCUUAACUCGGUGCUUGCUUUCGAUACGGGCAGACUAGAGGCAUGCAGGGGAGAACGGAAUUCCUGGUGUAGCGGUGAAAUGCGCAGAGUAUCAGGAAGAACACCCGUGGCGAAAGCGGCUCUCUGGAACGGUACUGACGCUGAGACGCGAAAGCGUGGGGAGCGAACAGG
rnacentral:rRNA from 1 species